rnacentral:misc_RNA from 1 species
AGGACGCCGAAGGUGGGGCUAAUGACUGGGGUGAAGUCGUAACAAGGUAGCCGUACCGGAAGGUGCGGCUGGAUCACCUCCUAACAGGGAGACAACAAAAUGUUUGAUAUUAUUUUGUCACCUUAGGUCGAUCGGUAUCUCACGUUCUUAAUUUAAGAAUUUCAAUUCCUAAGUUUUUCUAGGUCACACCCAUUAUUUUUCCUGGGCCAUUAGCUCAGGCGGUUAGAGCGCACCCCUGAUAAGGGUGAGGUCCCUGGUUCAAGUCCAGGAUGGCCCAUAUCUCUAUGUUGGGGGUAUAGCUCAGUUGGUAGAGCGCCUGCUUUGCAAGCAGGAUGUCAGCGGUUCGAGUCCGCUUACCUCCACUGAUUACCACCUCUUCCAUAAUCUGUAGAAAGGAAAUGUUUUGAGCUGUGAUCAAAUCCUGAACGAAUCUAGCUUCCUAAUGAAAUCAUUAAGAUGCUGGACUCAUUGAAUUAAUUUCAUUGUUUUCAGAGAACCUUGACAACUGCAUAGAUUUUUUUUAAAGACAAUAAGCAUCUUUAAUGAUGCAGAUUUAUUAUUUGUGCGAAUGCAUUAAUAACAAUUCUAUUGAGCUGAUGCUUCAAUUUUUGAAGUUAUUGGUCAAGCUACAAAGGGCUCACGGAGGAUA